rnacentral:rRNA from 1 species
AGAUUGAACGCUGGCGGCAUGCCUUACACAUGCAAGUCGAACGGCAGCACGGGAGCAAUCCUGGUGGCGAGUGGCGAACGGGUGAGUAAUACAUCGGAACGUGCCCAAUCGUGGGGGAUAACGCAGCGAAAGCUGUGCUAAUACCGCAUAAGAUCUACGGAUGAAAAGCAGGGGAUCGCAAGACCUUGCGCGAAUGGAGCGGCCGAUGGCAGAUUAAGGUAGUUGGUGAGGUAAAGGCUCACCAAGCCUUCGAUCUGUAGCUGGUCUGAGAGGACGACCAGCCACACUGGGACCUGAGACACGGCCCAGACUCCGUACGGGAGGCAGCAGUGGGGAAUUUGGACAAUGGACGAAGCCUGAUCCAGCCAUGCGCGUGACGUG